rnacentral:rRNA from 1 species
AUUGAACGCUGGCGGCAGGCCUAACACAUGCAAGUCGAGCGGAUGAAGGGAGCUUGCUCCUGGAUUCAGCGGCGGACGGGUGAGUAAUGCCUAGGAAUCUGCCUGGUAGUGGGGGAUAACGUCCGGAAACGGGCGCUAAUACCGCAUACGUCCUGAGGGAGAAAGUGGGGGAUCUUCGGACCCCACGCUAUCAGAUGAGCCUAGGUCGGAUUAGCUAGUUGGUGGGGUAAAGGCCUACCAAGGCGACGAUCCGUAACUGGUCUGAGAGGAUGAUCAGUCACACGAGAACUGAGACACGGUCAAGACUCCUACGGGAGGCAGCAGUGGGGAAUAGUGGGCAGUGGGCGAAAGCAUGAUACAGUCAUGGCGCGUGUGUGAAGAAGGUCUUCGGAGUGUAAAGAACUUUAAGGGGGGAGGAAGGGCAGUAAGUUAAGACGUAGCUGGUGUGACGGUACUAAGAGAAUAAGCACCGGCUAACUACGUG